GCUGUAGUUCAGGGGUGGAGCAUCAGCUUGGCAUGGAGAAAGUCCCAGGUUCAGUUCCUGGCAUCUCCA
rnacentral:tRNA from 1 species